UACAGAGGGUGCGAGCGUUAAUCGGAAUUACUGGGCGUAAAGCGCGCGUAGGCGGCUUUGCAAGUCGGGUGUGAAAUCCCCAGGCUCAACCUGGGAACUGCAUUCGAGACUGCAUUGCUAGAGUAUGGGAGAGGGAAGUGGAAUUUCAGGUGUAGCGGUGAAAUGCGUAGAUAUCUGAAGGAACAUCAGUGGCGAAAGCGACUUCCUGGACCAAUACUGACGCUCAUGGUGCGAAAAGCGUGGGGAGCAAACAGG
rnacentral:rRNA from 1 species